rnacentral:lncRNA from 1 species
CAUUCAUUCUCCAUGAAAAGAAUACAUCACAUGGAUGUAAUUUUUGUAAGAAAAAUACCAAUUUCGUGAGAAGUUGUGUGUUGGACUUGAAGAGCCAAGGCAAACUGACAAAUAUCUGAAUGAACGAAUCGAUUUAUGGUAUAUAAAAAAAAAAAAACAAAGCCCACAUGGUUAGCAUUGAAUAAAUAGAAGGCCACUCUUAAAUGAUCACAACGUAGAAGUUUUUGUUCUCUUAAUCAAUAAGAUAUUUUCUGAAAUAACGCGGGUCCCCAUUAACUUAAAAGUUUUUUUGGUUUUUUUACCAUGAAUAAACUUUUUUUUUAUAUUAUUAUUUAUUGAUAUCAGCUCUGGACAUUAAUAUUCUUAAAAGUGAAACUGUUGUAAGUGAUGGUAUAACAAUUAUUUAAAAUAAAUUCCUUAAAUGAUUUGUGAAAAGAAAGUUUCAUUUUAUGUAUCAAAAUGUGUAACAAAUGAUUAUUUAAAUCCCCACUUGAAGGCCUCCGAUAGACUGAGUGAGCAUAAAAUCAUCGCCCACGACAAACAAGUUAUAGGUAAACUUUUUAGUACAAUUACUAAUAAACGUUUUACCGUCGACCACACUGUUAUGAAUUUCAUUCUAUAUAGUAUCCUUAAUACAGCUUAACUAUUUAAGUUUAAAAUUACUCUUCUGAUUGCUCUGUUAUUGACGUUGGUGUAUGACAUUUCAAUAAAAGCAUUCGAAAUAAGUUUGAAAGGAGUCAUUUGUAUAAAUAAACUCAUCAUAG